UACAGAGGUCUCAAGCGUUGUUCGGAUUCAUUGGGCGUAAAGGGUGCGCAGGCUGCGUGGUAAGUCGAGUGUGGAAUUUAGGGGCUCAACCCCUAAACUGCAUCCGAUACUGCCAUGCUAGAGGACUGUAGAGGAGAUUGGAAUUCACGGUGUAGCAGUGAAAUGCGUAGAUAUCGUGAGGAAGACCAGUGGCGAAAGCGAAUCUCUGGGCAGGUCCUGACGCUGAGGAGCGAAAGCGUGGGGAGCGAACAGG
rnacentral:rRNA from 1 species